rnacentral:rRNA from 1 species
UACGUAGGGAGCGAGCGUUGUCCGGAAUUACUGGGUGUAAAGGGAGCGUAGGCGGGGAUGCAAGUUGGGUGUUAAAUCUACCGGCUCAACUGGUAGUCGCACUCAAAACUGCAGCUCUUGAGUGAAGUAGAGGCGGACGGAAUUCCUUGUGUAGCGGUGAAAUGCGUAGAUAUAAGGAGGAACACCAGUGGCGAAGGCGGUCUGCUGGACAGCAACUGACGGUGAGGCGCGAAAGCGUGGGGAGCAAACAGG